rnacentral:lncRNA from 1 species
GCGCACGAUAGAAGAUAGGAUAGAAUAGAAGUGUUUUAGUAGCUAGUAGGAUACAAAGAACUAACCAGAUCCUGAUCUGUCGUAGGAACAGAAGUGUUCUUUAGCUAGCUAAGGAGAACUUCUCGAGAGGAAAGAUUCAUACCGAUCCCUUCCACUGAUAUAUAUGGCUUCUUUCAUUGGCAGCUUCGUGCCAAAGAACUUGCUAAGGGUGCUCAGCCCCGCCGGUCCUCAGCGAGUUGGAAGAAGUAUAAUCAUGUAAGGCUUUCUUUGUUUUCAGUUCACCUGAUUGGAAAAGUUCAGAUUAGUUAGAUAAUUUAUUCAUUCUAUUUAUUUUGUUGCAGUAACUGCAUGCAUGCAUGCAUGCAUUCAUUCACACCUCAUCCUUUGUUUCUCUUUGUUCUGCUACUGGUUAUAGAUCCAUAUGGACUCUAUCUAGAUCAGCCAUGGAUACCCAUAUGUUCUUUUACAUAGUGGCUUGAUUUACAUACAAAAUCUACUAUAUGCUAACUCAGCAUCAUAUUUGGUCUUAUUUAUCAGAAGGUGUGCCAGCAACAGCGCUCGAGAUAAUAAGCCACCAAGGCAAAACAUCAAGACCAAAGACCCACAGACAAAUGCCGUCCCAACUGCAAAAAACAAGACAGUUCAGACGGAUAAGAGCAGUAAACAGGCAAGCAGCAAGUGAUGAAUCAGCUAUAUGAAGUUGAAAGAGUUGCUUUAUCAAGAUAGUAACUAUAAUAAGCAGAGUUCUUCUGGCUUGUUAUAAUCAGCUAUGUUUUUAUUUUUUUUUGGGGAGGGGGGGGGGGCGGUGGGUGGGUUACAAUAAAGAAAAGAAAAGAGGAGACAGUUUGGAUGAAAGAAAGCUGUGAACUCUUUCCAUUUUCUUGUUUUCAUUUUUUUUUUAUAUGGGUGAAGUUUU